AGCGAGUGUUCGGCCAGUUCGCUCGGCAUGUUAAUGGUCUAAGCCCAUAUAUACCCUAUAACCACCAAACUGAGAGCCUGAUUCAGCUCGCAUAGGCGCUCCCUCUCUUUUCUUACCCCUCGAUCUUCACAAAUCACAGGUAGAUGGUUAAUCAAGUAUCAAAUUUAGAGUUUGCCCCAACGUCAACUCGUUUUUAUUUGGUUGUUCUCAUAUACUGUAACUUCACUUUUAUUUCCCACUAAGGAAAAAUAUCAUUACAAGGAAAAUAAAUCAUAGCAGAUCACCAUCACCCCACUUAUCCUGAAACAUUGGCCCCACAAAAAAGAAGAAGAAGAAGAGAUGAGACAUCAAACUAUUGUAGUUUGGUUUUUUCUAUUGAAAUACAUGCGUAUAUACAUGAUAUAUCUCCCACAUGGAGCUUUGGUUUUUUAUUUAAAAGGAAAAAACCAAGCUAGCUCUGAUUGCCAGUAAAAAAAAACAAGAAGAAGAAGAAGAAGAAGAACUAAAGAAGAAAAGGUGGGGGUUUGCAUGUAAAAAGGUCGUAUCCAAGAAGGUAAAGGCCCUCAGGGACGAGAUGGUGAUGGUGGUGUUACAAUUAACUUUCCAGUUCCCACAGUGUUCAAGCUGGAUAAAGCUAGCAGAUCAAAAUUCAAAAUCAGAAUGGGAUGAUCAUUCGUUCUUUGCAGAUUAAUUAUGUACUGUACUAUAAAUUAAUAUACCCUGGCCUUUGAUUCCA